UUUCCGUAGGUGAACCUGCGGAAGGAUCAUUCCUAAGUAAUGGACUCAGUAAUUUAUUACUUGAGUAUUCCAACUCACCUUGUGUGCAAUGUAUUAAUUGUGUGCUUUGAUGCGGUUUAUGUGACCAUUUAACAGUGGGAUUAUUUUGUUUUUUGAAAAUAAUGCUAAAUCUUUUUAUAAUUUUUAUAAAUUACUAAAGAAUUAGUGCACUGUAGUCGCAUCAAAGUAUAAAUUUUAACAAACUCUUUUUUAAGUUAUCUAUAAGUCUGAAAAACUCAAUGUUUAUAUGAGAUUAAUCUCUAAAAACUUAAUACAACUUUCAACAACGGAUCUCUUGGCUCUC
rnacentral:misc_RNA from 1 species